CUAACUUACCGAAUUAGACAAGUGUGUGAAGAACACGGCAUAAUCCUGAUGAACUGCAAACUCAGAAAAAUAAGCAAAAUAAGACUUAAAACACUUAAAACAAAAAAAUAUCAUUAAUAUCUUAGCACUAAAAUCAGCGAUCAAACCUCUGUGCAGGCGCAGCCGUGCCUGAGCCUUCCACAGCCCGUCCGUGAUUGGAGAAGAGACCGGUCAAUCACGCCGACCACGCCCCCUCUAAGCCAGCCCCCUGUCGGCGGACGGCUGUACUGCAGCUUAAACCACUUCCGCAUUGGCCUCACUUUCUAGCCCGGAUGGUUGCCGCUUGACUGUAACGUAAAGAAAAGCUACUAGCAUGGUAUUUAGCAUAAAGAUCAAAGUGUAGCUAAUUAGACUGCUGGAUAAUCAAUAUAAUAUUAGUAUUACAGCGCAGCUCGCUGAAUAUUGUUAAGGCGAGGCUGACAGAAGACUAGAGCUGCUGCCGUUGCUGCUGUAGAGCGACUGUUCCUCCUUCAUCCAGGCCGCUGUAGGACACUGCAGGGCGGGGAAGGAACGUCGAAGGGGAGCCAGUGGUGGAGGAGCAGCGGAUCUCUGGAGCUGCUGUUGCGGACUGAGACAUAAAUGUAGGGGGAAUACACAGCGGCUGUUCCCCUUGAUGUGUGAUUACAGCAGCGACAGGAGCUGCAAAAAACACAAGGAGCCGAUUUAUUUCAGUGUGGGAUGCAGAAAGGAAGGAUGAGCUGCAGAGGAGGAAGAGGAGGAGGAUUUCUCACCAUGUUUCUCUCCUUGUGUCUAAUAUGGACACAGCUGCGGAUCACAGAAUCAUCCACCAGUGAGCCCCUCUCCUCUCGUCACUCCGGUCGAUUCCCUCCAUCCCUGUACCCUCUGCAGGAAUUCAACAAUCUGCCAGAGUCCCACCCUCAUCGUCACAUUCAUCAUCGUCACCAUCAGCACCUGGC
rnacentral:lncRNA from 1 species